rnacentral:lncRNA from 1 species
GAAACAAUCUGUUCUCCUUAAUCAAUAAGGCCGAGAGAGUUGAGAAGAAAAGUUGUCUCCCUUUCUUGCUUUCUUCCUAAAGCAGACUCGAGUGAGUGAGACAGAGUGUGAGGGAAAAGAAAGUGUAAGCUUCACCAUCAGCUAACUAUACGAACGAAAACAGAAGGGAGGUCGAGUGAGGAGUUGUGAUAGCAAACUUGAGCAGUCUGCAUUAUCGAUUUGUAAGGGAAAAGAGGUAAGAAUCUACCAUAACCUUCUGCUUAUUUGGCACAAAUAAGUAUAUAUACAAGCUGCAUGUUAGUUUUAGCAAGGCAUAAUGAGUUUUAACCGAGGAGAAAUCUGAUAAAGGAGAAAAAGAUGAGAACUGGACAGAAAUGGAGGGAACCGAGAGUUGUUGUUGAGUUGCAGCCCAUAAAUAAAGAAAAUUUUCCGUAAUAACCUCUUAGUUAUUCAGUACACUUGAAUAUUAAGGUUGCAUGUUGGAUUGUAGCUAAGAAAAACUAAGCUUGGUUGAAGGAAAUAGUUGGAAGUUUCUGCUAUGCUGGCCGAAGGAGGAAAGACAGAAAUGUCCAAGUUUCUUUAUAUAUUUUGGUUCUAAACUCCUACGUUGAGGCUUAGUUCAUUGCAUAAUAUUUUAGUUUUGGCAUGCAUGUUAGAUUUGGGUAUGAAAUGAAGUAGUUAAUGGAGGAAUUUCUUGCUAAAAGAUUGAUUGCUGUCCGAAGCUUUCUAUCAAGGCCGAGAGAGAGAGAGAGAGUUAAACCUCUGAUCAGUUUUUCCUUCAAACUCCACUCUGUAAACUUUCACAUCUGAUAUCUAAAGUUACUGGGUAGUUUAAUACUUGUAUUUGGCAUGAUGAGCUGGAGUUAAAAUUGAAGGAGUUAUGAUAAAAAUGUUGCAUAUUAAACUGCGGCACUGCUGGAAGCUUUAGUUGUCCAAUGUCUUAGCUGAUGUCAGAUUGUUGUGCAUGGCUGUUGGGUUGAAUAAUCUGUUGAAACUAGAUGCUCUUUGUCUUGGUUUAUGCUGGACUGAAUGUACUUUUAAUAGUUAGAGCUUUAAGCAAGUGAAAGAAUAGCGUUUUCGCCGAAAGCUUGAAGUAACGUUACUAGUUUUGGUUGCUGUCCGAGAAAUGAAACAGAUUGUGCUUUUGACCGUCCCAUUUUGGCCUUGAAAACGCAAUAUCUGGAUGUCGAUGUCUUCAUAGGAAAUGUAGGUCUAGGUCUUAGCUUCAAAACACUAUAAAAUUCACCUCAAUCCGAUAAGCGUAACUCCAAUUACGAUCAAAACACCCGAGGAUGGCAAAGCUGCCUUUCCUUUUGUUCCCGAAUGCACUUUGCUAAGAUGCUAACCGUGAGGAACCAACUUUUAACCAACAUUUCCUCUAAUUUUCAACUUUGUAAGCUUUCGUAAAUGAUAGUUACGGUUAGUCUAAGAUUUAAUGGCUUUAUAUAGCUCCACAAGUAGAGUUAAACUAAAGCAAAUGAGAGGAAAACACAUGAUAAUUAAAUUGGCUUCUAAUUACUUAAUACUAUCUUUACAAAUAAUUUAAAGACUAUAAAAUUUGAGGGACUGGUGUACUGGAAUAAAAUUUAAUUUACAAACAACCUAGAGUUUAAUUAAUUAAAAAGGGGACCAAUGGAGUGCUCCUAAGCCAUAAUCUUAGAAUCUUGAGUGGAAAAUGAUUUAAUCCUAGAAUAAAUAUCUUAUAAAUUAUUAACUUGGGAAAACAGGUAUAAUUCUUGAUUAAAAUAAUAAAGUAAAUAAGUUUCAAAAUAAAAGAUAAAUGAAUAUUGAAUAUAUUAUAUUUGUACUUUAAAGUCAAACUUGAUUUUAAUAGUUCAAGUGAUAAAGUAAGAACAAUAAGUGAACAUCUACAAACUAUGUAUUUGAUUUGGAAUUAUUAACUUGUCCAGGAAGUAGCUGUGAACCAGAAAAUCGACUCGAAACUUGAGAGUAAUUUAUUUGGAUAUUUGAUGAGUGUUUUCCGAAUUUAUGUGUUAAACUGCUUAUGUGUACCUAAGUGCAAUUAUAUGGCAAAUGUGCUUAUUAUGAAAUAUUGCUAAGUGAUUCAUUGGAAGUGUAUCUCAAUUGUCCCUCGCCUUCUAAGUCGAGGGUGUACUUUAUCGCACUUGGCUUAGUUGAGUUUGAAGGUUGAUAAUUGAUCAAGUAAUAUUGUAAGUGUGCAUGACUGUAAGCCGUAUGUGUACUUUAUCACGCCGGCUGAACUGGGCCCCAAAACCCUCUGUUCAACGGACUAUUCGAGCCAGCAAAGGGCUUGGUCGGGUAGGACGGUAGCUUUGGGUAAGUGUUUUGGUAUGCUCGAGUAUUAUCACGGAGUAGCAGAUUACUGAUACUGAUGUGGCCAUCCAAGUGGGGGAAGUGUUUAUUAUUUUGGAGGUUAUAAGGAGGAGUUCGGCGGAGUGUGUAGUGCAUUGAAGUGGCUUCUAAUGCGAGCACCGUAUUCUUUUAAAAGUGAUUGUUCAGUGAAGUGUUUCCUCAAUUGCUAAUGAAAGUGAUUGUACAGUGAAAUGUGCACUACUUGUUUAUUUGUAUUGAUUCAUGUGAUUAUUAAAUGUUACUUGCAUGGAAACCUCACGGGCGUAAACUCACCCUUUUAGUUUUGUUUUCCUUACAGGAGUUGGAGAUUGAAAAGUGAUUGGAUGGAAUUAGAAAGUUGCUUUGGGAAAUUCCAUCACUAUGUGUAUAUAUUGGAGUCACGUUUUCUUUCGUAUUUUAAGAUGGUUGAAUCUUUUGUUUUGAGUUGAUGUAAUAUUAAGAAUGGAUAUUUAGAACAUGUAUUUUAUUUCUUUUAGUGGUCAAAUCUAUGUUUCAAGCUGAUUGGAGUGGUACUUAAGAGUGAAUGUUCAGUUGUUCAAUGAUAAUGUUAUCUCUGAAGUUAAUGUAAGUGAGUGAGUCCUGGCGAGAGCCAGGCAGGCGAUCCGCUAACUUCUAGGGUGGGCCCUAAGAGAAGGUGGGUCGUGACACUAACUUUUACAUUUUAAUCCCGCAUGUGGUAAACUAAUCUCAUUAAUUCUACCAUGGCACCUUAUCUUUUAC